AUUGAACGCUAGCGGGAUGCCUUACACAUGCAAGUCGAACGGAGUGGCGAACGGGUGAGUAAUGUAUCGGAACGUGCCCAGUAGCGGGGGAUAACUACGCGAAAGCGUAGCUAAUACCGCAUACUAUUGGAGCGGCCGAUAUCGGAUUAGCUAGUUGGUGGGGGAAAGGCUCACCGAGGCGACGAUCCGUAGCUGGUUUGAGAGGACGACCAGCCACACUGGGACUGAGACACGGCCCAGACUCCUACGUGAGGCAGCAGUGGGGAAGUUUGGACAAGGGGGGAAAGCCUGAUCCAGCCAUCCCGCGUGUAUGAGGAAGGCCUUCGGGUUGUAAAGCACUUUUAGCAGGAAAGCGGUACCUGCAGAAUAAGCACCGGCUAACUACGUGCCAGCAGCCGCGGUAAUAC
rnacentral:rRNA from 1 species